AGAGUUUGAUCCUGGCUCAGAACGAACGCUGGCGGCAGGCUUCAUACAUGCAAGUCGAGCGAUUAAAGCCCCUUCGGGGGUGUAUAAAGCGGCGAACGGGUGAGUAACAGGUGGAUAAUCUGCCCCUCGGUGGGGGACAACGGCUGGAAACGGCCGCUACUACCGCGUACGAUUGCUGUGUCCCCGGGCACGGCAAAGAAAGGCGCUUCACGGCGCCGCCAAGGGAUGAGUCCGCCCCCCAUUAGCUAGUUGGUAAGGUAAUGGCUUACCAAGGCUUCGAUGGGUAGCCGAGCUGAGAGGUUGAUCGGCCACACUGGGACUGAGAUACGGCCCAGACACCUACGGGUGGCAGCAGUAGGGAAUAUUGCGCAAUGGACGAAAGUCUGACGCAGCCAUGCCGCGUGAGUGAAGAAGGCCUUCGGGUCGUAAAGCUCUUUUCUGAGGGAAGAACAUCCAGUGGAGGAAAUGCCACUGGCCUGACGUACCUUAGAAUAAGAGCGCUAACU
rnacentral:rRNA from 1 species